UAUAAGCAACUUGUACUGUGAAACUGCGAAUGGCUCAUUAAAUCAGUUAUCGUUUAUUUGAUAGUACCUUACUACAUGGAUACCUGUGGUAAUUCUAGAGCUAAUACAUGCUAAAAACCCCGACUUCAGGAAGGGGUGUAUUUAUUAGAUAAAAAACCAACGCCCUUCGGGGCUCCUUGGUGAAUCAUAAUAACUUAACGAAUCGCAUGGCCUUGCGCCGGCGAUGGUUCAUUCAAAUUUCUGCCCUAUCAACUUUCGAUGGUAGGAUAGUGGCCUACCAUGGUGGCAACGGGUAACGGGGAAUUAGGGUUCGAUUCCGGAGAGGGAGCCUGAGAAACGGCUACCACAUCCAAGGAAGGCAGCAGGCGCGCAAAUUACCCAAUCCCGAUACGGGGAGGUAGUGACAAUAAAUACUGAUACGGGGCUCUUUUGGGUCUCGUAAUUGGAAUGAGAACAAUUUAAAUCCCUUAACGAGGAACAAUUGGAGGGCAAGUCUGGUGC
rnacentral:rRNA from 1 species